rnacentral:rRNA from 1 species
UACGGAGGGUGCAAGCGUUAUCCGGAUUCACUGGGUUUAAAGGGUGCGUAGGUGGGUUGGUAAGUCAGUGGUGAAAUCUCCAGGCUCAACUUGGAAAGCUGCCAUUGAUACUAUUAAUCUUGAAUACCGUGGAGGUCAGCGGAAUAUGUCAGUGUAGCGGUGAAAUGCUUAGAUAUGACAUAGAACACCAAUGCGAAGGCAGCUGGCUACACGAAUAUUGACACUGAUGCACGAAAGCGUGGGGAUCAAACAGG